ACCAAGGCCUGGGUGGCAGGGACACGUGACCUGUCUGUUUGGAAGCUGUGGGGACUGUUCCUCAGGCCCAGACCGCCGACGGUUGUAGAGCCCACGAGCCCGGCCCGUCUCCGCGGUGAACGGCUCGCCGAAGAGGCCUCUGGGAAUUGUAGUUGGGGGGGGGGGGAGUCGCGCCAGUGCGCGAGGUCCGAGCUGCGACCGUUACUCGCCUCCGCGGUCGGAGAGAGCUCGGGGGUCGCAGCCACACCCGCCCUUCCGACAGAGAAGGCUUUGCCUCGGCUUUCGGGAGCCCAGGCAGGAGGGCGGCCGCAAGGCGGGGUGUCGGCCUUGGCUCAGGGGAAGAAAGUUUCUUAAAUAAGACGCUCAGGGAGAGUUUGUCUGAAACGAACCCUCCCACGGCACAAGUGAGCCUCCCUGGGGACUUCUCCAGUCAAGAAUGACCACAGCAGUGACGGGGGGCUGUGUCCCAGUGCCUCGGGAUCCUUCAGAAGCAGGACAGGAUUCUGACCUUGAAGGUGGAAGCAGAGGACCACUCGUAGGGGAAAGACUAUGCUGCCAGAGCUCCCACUCUUCUUACUGGUCUCCAGGACAGGAGGUUUGCCAGGGGGAGACGGCUCCCCACGCCCAGCAGAGGAAUCAGCACACUUGAGCCCCAGUUCGAACGUGGAUCUUGGGAGCUCCGUGCCAGUGAUAGGAGGCGGCAUCCCCUGGGGAGCAGGUCAGAGUCUUUGAUGUUUUCCCUGGGCACUCCUGUGUUGAAAAACAGGACAAAACACACAGCGUCCAGACCUGUGCUGGGAGUUGAGUGUGAUCAUCCACCUGGCAUGAGACCUUAAGUCCAGGACUCAGCGAGGUCCUGAGGUCAUUGGAGCACAGCAGAGAAUGUCCGGUCAUCCCCCAGUGCCCCAACCACAGCAGCGUGGCCUUCCAUUUCCUGAAGAGUUACGACGGACACGCUAUCGGGCUGUUUUGAAUUCUGGUGUGGUAGCAUUUUAGCUACACGGCACUCCAUGGUAUGGCUCAUGGAGACCUUUAUUGACGGUAAUAGCACCUUUCUUCUUUCCAUCAUGUAGCCUCUACUCAACAUUUGAAGGGAACCCAGCAGAUCCAGCCACCCUGGGUGUAUGGAAGGGAGGCCUGCUCUGGAGAAAGGCAGGCAGUUGGGAAUCAAAGAGAACGACCCAACAAAGCAUCCAUCCCAGCCAGAAGGAGAAGCAGGCAGGGUGGAGGGGCUGGACGCACUCCUGUCCCUUACUUCAGAGAAGAGUCAUGACAUCACCGUUCAUUUGCCCCGAAAUCUCAGAACUCAGCACGUUGCUUUGUACCGGGACUGUUAAGUGCUCAUUGCAAAGCCAAAUACCACCGCUAGGGGGCUACUGCCUUCGAUCGGCCGCGCGUCCUGAUCUUUGCCUGAGCAGGAGGGACGGAGAGGGGACUUCACAGGUUUGGACACGUCCGUGGACGCCCACGUCAGGAGAACAUCACACCCCGUCCUGUGGAAGUGUGGUUUGAUUGGAAAGCUCCCACACUGAAAUAAGUGACACACUGGACAGCUUCUAGAGUCUCCUGUCACCAUUGGGAUCCGUGGGACACGGUAUUAGAGGAGGCCAGACUCCCGCAUGACAUUCCUCUGGUGCCCACCAGAAUGGAUGGAUGGGGGGUGUUCAGGUAUUGAAAUGCUUGUGGACUGGCUGGUAAGCAGCUGCUGGUCUGUGUCCCCAAGUGACCUCCCGGCCUCCUUGGCACCCCAGCGACUCCUCCCUGACCCUCGGGACCUUUCUAGGGUCAGGCAUCUAAUGGUCAUCACUCGGUGCUACAAGAGGCCCCUGGGUCUCCAGAUGAGAUCAUGACCUGAGCCGAAGUCAAGAUGCUUAACGGAGCCCCCCAGGGUCUCCUUGUAACCUUUUUAAAAAAUACACGAUUGGGGCCCCAGGGUGGCUCCAUCGGUUGAGCA